AUUGAACGCUGGCGGCAGGCCUAACACAUGCAAGUCGAGCGAGCGGCGGACGGGGGAGUAAUGUCUGGGGAACUGCCCGAUAGAGGGGGAUAACUACUGGAAACGGUGGCUAAUACCACAUACUCUCAGAUGAACCCAUCUGGGAUUAGCUAGUAGGUGGGGUAAAGGCUCACCUAGGCGACGAUCGCUAGCUGGUCUGCGAGGAUGAUCAGCCACACCUGAACGGAGACACGGUCCAGACGCCUACGGGAGGCAGCAGUGGGGAAUAUUGCACAAUGGGCGCAAGCCUGAUGCAGCCAUGCCGCGUGUAUGAAGAAGGCCUUAGGUUUGUAAAGUACUUUCAGCGGGGAGGCGUUACCCGCAGAAGAAGCACCGGCUAACUCCGUGCCAGCAGCCGCGGUAAUUC
rnacentral:rRNA from 1 species